AUGCUCACUUCAGCAGCACAUAUACAAAAAUUGGAAUGAUACAGAGAUUAGCAUGGCCCCUGUGCAAGGAUGACAGGAAAAUUCGUGAAGCAUUCCAUAUUAAA